rnacentral:lncRNA from 1 species
GGCAGAUGCUAAACUUUUCUGGGUGGACGACUUUGUGCGAGAGUAGCGGUUGAGAAGGUCAUGGCUCAACAUCGGAUCUUGUGUGAUGACGGGUGUGUGUAGGCGUGCACGUGUGUGUGUUUCCAUGUAUGUGUGAGAAUGUGCAUGCGUGUGUGCACGUGUGCGGGUAGGGUGUGUGGCACGGUGUGUGGCACAGGGCUUUUAGAGGGAGGGUCUAAGGCCAGCCGGCCCUGGGGUGACGUCUCAGUUCGUCCUCCCCAUCUGGAUGACCCACAGCAGCCACUUCUAAUGUUUGGGCCCGCGUGGCCUCAUGUGCCCCAGCGACGUAAUAUAGAAGCUAUGUCACGGAGUAAUCGGAAGGAGGUACGUAGUAAGUUAUUACAUCUACACUAGGGAAAGUGGCUAGAGCAGCGCCCAUGACACGAUGCAUGAAGGUAACCGUUGGGCAUUUUUCCUGCGAGUGCUGUUCACAUCGGUGACGUUAGGCCCGGGGGAGGGUUUCUCCUGGAAACCAGUUAGCCUCUGCUGUUUCGGUUUCUCCGUGCACACGCCGGGGACCGCACAGGCACCCACCUCAUGGGGGCGCUCAGAGGAUUAAGCGCUCAAUUCACACGGCCUGGGGGUAGUGGUUGAGAACGGGGACUGGAGCCAGCUAGCCAAGGCAUGACAUCCCCAUGACCAGUGGCUGUCCCUGCGACCUCAGGCACCCCCCUCAACCUCUCGGAGCUUCUGAGUUUUCAUCUUCGAUAUGGAGACAGAGUGUCCAUUUCAUGGGGUCUUUGGGAGGGCGGUACCUAAUGCCAAGAACGGCUCACGGGCUGCUGCUGUUCCAGACAUUUCCAUGAACACACACUGGGAUCCACACGCUUCUCUGUCUGCCUCUUUAGUCUUAGUGGCUAAGAUCAUUCCAAGGACACUCACCUCCCCGGCUUCCUUCCGUCUUCAACCUUCAAUCAACCAAAUCUGCUUUGCCCUCUCACCCUGUGCAUCAAGGGAACGUUUUCAGUCCUGUUUGGCCAUUGUGGAUAAUUUUCUGCUGAAACCUGCCUCUGUUAAUCCAGACGCUCCAGAUUAUAUAUGAAAAUAAAAACAUAGAGGUG